UCCUCCGGGAACUCUUGGUCACGAGGCGAUCACGGGCCGCCUUCCUUCAGCAUAUGAGAAAUUCGGAGUAAUCUUCAAUACCACACCGCAAGUCGCCCGCCCAGUUGUGGGAUCGACCGGUCUGCCCGUAAGGGUCUGGCGUGACAUCACGCCUGCAAUUGGCAUCAGAAAAGCAGGGGCCUGCCCGGGGAGUCCCUUCGCGGGGUCUCUCUGGAGCAGUGUUUCCCUAUGGGAGAGCCGUUGCGAAGAUUGUGUGCGAACACUUGAGUGCGAUACGCAGCGUGCUGUGCUGUCAUCCCUUCUUGGGGAUGACGGUGCGGCACAAUUCGAUUCUGAUUACUCUGGUGGGGA
rnacentral:RNase_P_RNA from 1 species